AUUGAACGCUGGCGGCAGGCCUAACACAUGCAAGUCGAACGAGUGGCGGACGGGUGAGUAAUGUCUGGGAAACUGCCUGAUGGAGGGGGAUAACUACUGGAACCGGUAGCUAAUACCGCAUACCAUCGGAUGUUCCCAGAUGGGAUUAGCUAGGCGGUGGGGUAGCGGCGCACCUAGGCGACGAUCCCUAGCUGGUCUGAGAGGAUGACAAGCCACACUGGAACUGAGACACGGUCCAGACUCCUACGGGAGGCAGCAGUGGGGAAUAUUGCACAAUGGGCGCAAGCCUGAUGCAGCCAUGCCGCGUGUAUGAAGAAGGCCUUCGGGUUGUAAAGUACUUUCAGCGGGGAGGCGUUACCCGCAGAAGAAGCACCGGCUAACUCCGUGCCAGCAGCCGCGGUAAUUC
rnacentral:rRNA from 1 species